AAAAAGCGGAGGAAAAGAAACUAACAAGGAUUCCCCUAGUAACGGCGAGUGAAGCGGGAAGAGCUCAAAUUUAAAAUCUGGCAGUCUACGAUUGUCCGAAUUGUAAUCUCGAGAAGUGUUUUCCGCGUUGGCCUGUGCACAAGUCCCUUGGAACAGGGCGUCAUAGAGGGUGAGAAUCCCGUCCUUGGCACAGAUACCCAAUGCUUUGUGAUACACUCUCAAUGAGUCGAGUUGUUUGGGAAUGCAGCUCAAAAUGGGAGGUAAAUUCCUUCUAAAGCUAAAUACUGGCGAGAGACCGAUAGCGAACAAGUACCGUGAGGGAAAGAUGAAAAGCACUUUGGAAAGAGAGUCAAACAGUACGUGAAAUUGUUGAAAGGGAAACGAUUGAAGUCAGUCGUGCCUGCCUAGAUUCAGCCUUCUGGUGUAUUUCUAGGUCGGCAGGUCAGCAUCAGUUUGGGAGGGUUAACAAGGGGAUUAGGAAUGUGGCAACCUCGGUUGUGUUAUAGCCUAGUUUCGUAUUGAUCUUGCUGGACUGAGGAACGCAGUGCGCCCGCAAGGGUAGGUCUUCGGACACUUUCGCACUUAGGAUGCUGGCAUAG
rnacentral:rRNA from 1 species